GAUGAACGCUGGCGGCGUGCUUAACACAUGCAAGUCGAACGAUUAAAGCCCCUUCGGGGGUGUAUAGAGUGGCGAACGGGUGAGUAACACGUGGGCAAUCUGCCCCUCACUUCGGGAUAACUCAGGGAAACUUGAGCUAAUACCGAAUAUUCCAGGAUGGUCGCAUGGCCGACCUGGGAAAGCUCCGACGGUGAGGGAUGAGCCCGCGGCCCAUUAGCUUGUUGGUGAGGUAAUGGCUCACCAAGGCUGCGAUGGGUAGCCGCGCUGAGAGGCGGAUCGGGCCACACUGGGACUGAGACACGGCCCAGACUCCUACGGGUGGCAG
rnacentral:rRNA from 1 species